rnacentral:rRNA from 1 species
GCCGAUGCCUGAUUAGCUAGUUGGUGGGGUAAAGGCCUACCAAGGCUACGAUCAGUAGUUGGUCUGAGAGGACGACCAGCCACACUGGGACUGAGACACGGCCCAGACUCCUACGGGAGGCAGCAGUGGGGAAUUUUGGACAAUGGGCGAAAGCCUGAUCCAGCAAUGCCGCGUGAGUGAAGAAGGCCUUAGGGUUGUAAAGCUCUUUCAGUUGAGAAGAAAAGAUUGUGACUAAUAAUCAUAAUUCAUGACGGUAUCGACAGAAGA